rnacentral:rRNA from 1 species
CAGCAGCCGCGGGAAUACAGAGGGUGCAAGCGUUAAUCGGAAUUACUGGGCGUAAAGCGCGCGUAGGUGGUUUGUUAAGUUGGAUGUGAAAUCCCCGGGCUCAACCUGGGAACUGCAUCCAAAACUGGCAAGCUAGAGUAUGGUAGAGGGUGGUGGAAUUUCCUGUGUAGCGGUGAAAUGCGUAGAUAUAGGAAGUAACACCCGUGGCGAAGGCGACCACCUGGACUGAUACUGACACUGAGGUGCGAAAGCGUGGGGAGCAAACAGGAUUAGAUACCCCCGUAGUCCCUGUCUCUUAUAC